CCGCCGUAGCUCAGCCGGCAGAGCGCCGCCCUGGUAAGGCGGAGCAAGUUCUUGACCUGUUAUAUCGCGCAAGGCGCA
rnacentral:tRNA from 1 species